CGUAGGGUGCAAGCGUUAAUCGGAAUUACUGGGCGUAAAGCGUGCGCAGGCGGUUAUAUAAGACAGAUGUGAAAUCCCCGGGCUCAACCUGGGAACUGCAUUUGUGACUGUAUAGCUAGAGUACGGUAGAGGGGGAUGGAAUUCCGCGUGUAGCAGUGAAAUGCGUAGAUAUGCGGAGGAACACCGAUGGCGAAGGCAAUCCCCUGGACCUGUACUGACGCUCAUGCACGAAAGCGUGGGGAGCAAACAGGA
rnacentral:rRNA from 1 species